rnacentral:rRNA from 1 species
CCUACGGGAGGCAGCAGUGGGGAAUAUUGGUCAAUGGGCGGAAGCCUGAACCAGCCAAGUAGCGUGCGGGAUGAAGGCCCUACGGGUCGUAACCCGCUUUUGCACGGGGAUAACACCCUCCACUUGUGGACGUCUCCCGGUCCCCUGCGACUAAGGGACGGCAAAUUCCGUGCCAGCAGCCGGGGUAAUACGGAAGGCCCGGGCGUUAACCGGAUUAAUUGGGCUUAAGGGGUGAGUAGUGGGGCGUUCAAGUCAGCGGUAAAAUCGCGCGGCUCAACCGCGCCCCGCAGUUGAAACUGGAAGCCUUGAGUUCACAACAGGCAGGCGGAAUUCGUGGUGUAGCGGUGAAAUGCAUAGAUAUCACGAGGAACCCCGAUUGCGAAGGCAGCCUGCCGGGGUGCGACUGACGCUGAGGCUCGAAGGCGCGGGUAUCAAACAGGAUUAGAUACCCGAGUAGUC